rnacentral:lncRNA from 1 species
CGCCCAGCAGCUUCUUGUUGCCCAAGAAGUUCACGUGUAGGGCUGGAGUUGAAGGGUCUGGGGUACACUGUCCCCGUGCUCCUGCCGGGAACUGCCUGCCUCAGUGCCCCCAGCCUGCUCCUGAGAGGUAGGCUGGGAGCAGCUCCAAAGCGAGGGGCUGAAGAGGAAUGUGCGCGGUGGAGCCCAGAGUUGGGCUGUUGGAGAGGUUGAGCUGCUGCUAGGAGGUGGAGUGCAGGCUCCAUGCUAGGAUGUGUUUGCAUUUUGUAUGUGUUUCAGUGUGUGAGACCUUAUUUUGUAUGUUUUGAGUUUGGUUUGGGAAGGGAACAGAAAUCACCUGUAAGUAGUAUGUGAAUUGUGUUGGGUGCUGAGAUGAAUGUGUGCCUUGAUGUGUGCUGUAUGUUGAUGUGUUGUGUGUUUUGUGUUGUUUGUUGAUGUGUUAGGCCUUGAUGGAUUUAGAGCGUGGACGUGUGUUGGAGGUGUGUGUGUUGGGUUGUCGGAGUGUAUAUUAUGGAGGAUAGGAGUGUAUGUUGUGGCAUUGGUAUGUCUGUAUCAGAGUAUGGUUUGGAGAUGCAUGUUGGGCUGUGGGGGUAUGAAGUUAGUGUGAUGGGGGCUUCUGUGUGUUAGGGGAUCCUAGCACGCAGACCCCCUAACCUGUGAAUUGGGGUAAAUGGAGUGUUUCUUUGCUUAAUCAUUCCACAGAUAUUUAUUGAGUGUGUGAUACAUGCUGUACUUUGCUAGGUACUGAGGAUAUGAUAGCGAGCAAAACCAGGCACAGUUCUUGCUCUCCUGGAACUUACAAGUCUAGUUUCUGGG